AGCAGCCGCCGCGGUAAUACAGAGGGUGCGAGCGUUAAUCGGAUUUACUGGGCGUAAAGCGUGCGUAGGCGGCUUCUUAAGUCGGAUGUGAAAUCCCUGAGCUUAACUUAGGAAUUGCAUUCGAUACUGGGAAGCUAGAGUAUGGGAGAGGAUGGUAGAAUUCCAGGUGUAGCGGUGAAAUGCGUAGAGAUCUGGAGGAAUACCGAUGGCGAAGGCAGCCAUCUGGUUUAAUACUGACGCUGAGGUACGAAAGCAUGGGGAGCAAACAGGAUUAGAUACCCCCGUAGUCCCUGUCUCUUAUAC
rnacentral:rRNA from 1 species